GACGAACGCUGGCGGCGUGCUUAACACAUGCAAGUCGAACGGAAAGGCCCUGCUUUUGUGGGGUGCUCGAGUGGCGAACGGGUGAGUAACACGUGAGUAACCUGCCCUUGACUUUGGGAUAACUUCAGGAAACUGGGGCUAAUACCGGAUAGGAGCUCCUGCUGCAUGGUGGGGGUUGGAAAGUUUCGGCGGUUGGGGAUGGACUCGCGGCUUAUCAGCUUGUUGGUGGGGUAGUGGCUUACCAAGGCUUUGACGGGUAGCCGGCCUGAGAGGGUGACCGGCCACAUUGGGACUGAGAUACGGCCCAGACUCCUACGGGAGGCAGCAGUGGGGAAUAUUGCACAAUGGGCGGAAGCCUGAUGCAGCAACGCCGCGUGCGGGAUGACGGCCUUCGGGUUGUAAACCGCUUUCGCCUGUGACGAAGCGUGAGUGACGGUAAUGGGUAAAGAAGCACCGGCUAACUACGUGCCAGCAGCCGCGGUGAUACGUAGGGUGCGAGCGUUGUCCGGAUUUAUUGGGCGUAAAGGGCUCGUAGGUGGUUGAUCGCGUCGGAAGUGUAAUCUUGGGGCUUAACCCUGAGCGUGCUUUCGAUACGGGUUGACUUGAGGAAGGUAGGGGAGAAUGGAAUUCCUGGUGGAGCGGUGGAAUGCGCAGAUAUCAGGAGGAACACCAGUGGCGAAGGCGGUUCUCUGGGCCUUUCCUGACGCUGAGGAGCGAAAGCGUGGGGAGCGAACAGGCUUAGAUACCCUGGUAGUCCACGCUGUAAACGGUGGGUACUAGGUGUGGGGUCCAUUCCACGGGUUCCGUGCCGUAGCUAACGCUUUAAGUACCCCGCCUGGGGAGUACGGCCGCAAGGCUAAAACUCAAAGGAAUUGACGGGGCCCCGCACAAGCGGCGGAGCAUGCGGAUUAAUUCGAUGCAACGCGUAGAACCUUACCUGGGUUUGACAUGGAUCGGGAGUGCUCAGAGAUGGGUGUGCCUCUUUUGGGGUCGGUUCACAGGUGGUGCAUGCCUGUCGUCAGCUCGUGUCGUGAGAUGUUGGGUUAAGUCCCGCAACGAGCGCAACCCUUGUUCACUGUUGCCAGCACGUUAUGGUGGGGACUCAGUGGAGACCGCCGGGGUCAACUCGGAGGAAGGUGGGGAUGACGUCAAGUCCUCAUGCCCCUUAUGUCCAGGGCUUCACGCAUGCUACAAUGGCUGGUACAGAGAGUGGCGAGCCUGUGAGGGUGAGCGAAUCUCGGAAAGCCGGUCUCAGUUCGGAUUGGGGUCUGCAACUCGACCUCAUGAAGUCGGAGUCGCUAGUGAUCGCAGAUCAGCAACGCUGCGGUGAAUACGUUCCCGGG
rnacentral:rRNA from 1 species